GUCUGGGAUGUGAGGAGCGCCUCUGCCGGGCCGCGACCCCAUCUGGGAGAUGAGGAGCGUCUCUGCCCGGCCGCCCCAUCUGAGAAGUGAGGAGCCCCUCUGCCUGGCAGCCGCCCUGUCUGAGAAGUGAGGAGCCCCUCUGCCCGGCAGCCGACCCGUCUGAGAAGUGAGGAGCCUCUCCGCCUGGCAGCCGCCCCGUCUGAGAAGUGAGGAGCCCCUCCGCCCGGCAGCUGCCCUGUCUGGCCAUAGACUCUCCAACUCCUGCAACUGUCUGGAAUUUCUUCUCUCUCCAAUCCAUCUCUAGUAUUGAUGACAUAGCUGGACUGUACUGCUGCCAUCUCGGCUCACUGCAACCUCCCUGCCUGAUUCUCCUGCCUCAGCCUGCCGAGUGCCUGCGAUUGCAGGAGCGCGCCGCCACGCCUGACUGGUUUUCGUAUUUUUUUGGUGGAGAAGGGGUUUCGCUGUGUUGGCCGGGCUGGUCUCCAGCUCCUAACCGCGAGUGAUCUGCCAGCCUCGGCCUCCCGAGGUGCCGGGAUUGCAGACGGAGUCUGGUUCACUCAGUGCUCAAUGGU
ensembl:lncRNA C5orf34-AS1 C5orf34 antisense RNA 1